UGGAAACAUAAAAUGGGGCCCCAUUUGGAAAGUGGAAGAAAAACCACAAAGACAGUAUGAUGAAAAGAGAGCAAGCGAGAGAGAGAGAGAGAGAGAGAGAGAGAGAGAGAGACUAUAGAAGGAAAUGAUGGGUUGAAUAAAAUAUAAUAAGAAAGAAAGAGAAAAAGUUAGAUAUAGGACAGAAAUAACAAGGACAGAGAAACCAAGGAAGAAUGAAGGAGAGAAAACAGUGACAGGGGAAACAGAAAAAAAGAAAAAGUGAAAGGAAAAAAGGAUGAAAGAAGCCUGAGAGGAAAAGUUACAAAAAAAGCUUAAAAAGUGAUCAGAUUCCUCUCGGUCGAUGAUGUCAUCAUGAACCUGCGCUGAACUUCUCCUGUCAGCUGUCAUUAAUCAGAUGGGGACAUUGUCACAAAAACAGCAUAUGAUAACUACUACUAAGAGAAGAAGAAGAAGAAGAAGAAGAAGAAGAAGAAGAAGAAGAAGAAGAAGAAGAAGAAGAAUGGUAGGAAUUCAUGGCCAAAUUGUAUUUCUUAAAGAUAAAAUGAACAUACCAUUUAUGAUUCUAAUAUUAUCAAGAAGUUGGUAUAUUGGUC
ensembl:lncRNA